UGAAUGCAGAGGCCCAUGUAAGGAAGCUGAAAAUAGCUUAGCAGAAGCCAACGCCAAAGUGGCAAAGUUGGAGCAAAACCAGGUGGAAAUCAACACCAUCAGGACCCAUCUCCAAGCUGAAAAUAGUGAACUGAGCUAUGACUAUGAAGAGCCCCAAAACUGGCUCAAUCAAAUCCUGCAAGUAAAGACAUCUAUGACAUCACAAGUGGAUGAUUACAAAAGGCAGCUGAAUGAAGAGUCAAAGGUUGGUUUGGGAUGGAGAUGGUGACAUAGCCACAUCCUUAAAUUUACAAGUUAUGAAGAUACAGAAAGAAUACAAAGAUAUUUGAUAUGGUAGCAAGUGAAAGUAGUAUGUCUUUAACUCUUUGUUUUGUUUGGUACUGGGGAUUGAACUCUGGACCUUGUG
rnacentral:lncRNA from 1 species